AUACGGAGGAUCCGAGCGUUAUCCGGAUUUAUUGGGUUUAAAGGGUGCGCAGGCGGCCAUUUAAGUCAGCGGUUAAAUCGUGGGGCUCAACCCCAUUCUGCCGUUGAUACUGGGUGGCUUGAUUGCGGUCGAGGUUGGCGGAAUUCGUUGUGUAGCGGUGAAAUGCAUUGAUAUGACGAAGAACACCGAUUGCGUAGGCAGCUGACCAGACCGCAAAUGACGCUCAUGCACGAAAGUGCGGGGAUCGAACAGGAUUAGAUACCCUGGUAGUCCGCACAGUAAACGAUGAAUACUUGUUUUCGGCGAUAUAAUGUCGGAGGCAAAGCGAAAGCGAUAAGUAUUCCACCUGGGGAGUACGCCGGCAACGGUGAAACUCAAAGGAAUUGACGGGG
rnacentral:rRNA from 1 species